GUGGGUUUGACAUAUAGGUUGUAGGACUAGAAAAGGGACCCGACCCGUUCGGGGAGCCUUAUACAGGUUGUUGCAUGGCUGUCGUCAGCUCGUGUCGUGAGAUGUUCGGUUAAGUCCGCUAACGAGCGCAACCCUCGUCGUAUGUUAUAUGUGUCAUACGAGACUGCCGGUAAAAGCCGGAGGAAGGUGAGGAUGAUGUCAAGUCAGCAUGACCUUUAUAUCCAGGGCUACACACACGCUACAAUGGUCUGUACAAUGGGUAGCCAAGCCGCGAGGCGGAGCCAAUCCUGAAAGCAGGCCUCAGUUCAGAUUGCAGUCUGCAACUCGACUGCAUGAAGCCGGAGUUGCUAGUAACCGCAGGUCAGCAAUACUGCGGUGAAUACGUUCCCGGGUCUU
rnacentral:rRNA from 1 species